rnacentral:rRNA from 1 species
AUGAACGCUAGCUACAGGCUUAACACAUGCAAGUCGAGGGGCAGCAUUUUAGUUUGCUUGCAAACUAAAGAUGGCGACCGGCGCACGGGUGAGUAACACGUAUCCAACCUGCCGAUAACUCGGGGAUAGCCUUUCGAAAGAAAGAUUAAUAUCCGAUAGUAUAUUAAAACCGCAUGGUUUUACUAUUAAAGAAUUUCGGUUAUCGAUGGGGAUGCGUUCCAUUAGUUUGUUGGCGGGGUAACGGCCCACCAAGACUACGAUGGAUAGGGGUUCUGAGAGGAAGGUCCCCCACAUUGGAACUGAGACACGGUCCAAACUCCUACGGGAGGCAGCAGUGAGGAAUAUUGGUCAAUGGACGAGAGUCUGAACCAGCCAAGUAGCGUGAAGGAUGACUGCCCUAUGGGUUGUAAACUUCUUUUAUAUGGGAAUAAAGUAUUCCACGUGUGGGAUUUUGUAUGUACCAUAUGAAUAAGGAUCGGCUAACUCCGUGCCAGCAGCCGCGGUAAUACGGAGGAUCCGAGCGUUAUCCGGAUUUAUUGGGUUUAAAGGGAGCGUAGGUGGAUUGUUAAGUCAGUUGUGAAAGUUUGCGGCUCAACCGUAAAAUUGCAGUUGAAACUGGCAGUCUUGAGUACAGUAGAGGUGGGCGGAAUUCGUGGUGUAGCGGUGAAAUGCUUAGAUAUCACGAAGAACUCCGAUUGCGAAGGCAGCUCACUAGACUGCAACUGACACUGAUGCUCGAAAGUGUGGGUAUCAAACAGGAUUAGAUACCCUGGUAGUCCACGCCGUAAACGAUGAAUAACCGAUGUUUGUGCUAUACAGUAAUCGGCCAAGCGAAAGCAUUAAGUAUUCCACCUGGGGAGUACGCCGGCAACGGUGAAACUCAAAGGAAUUGACGGGGGCCCGCACAAGCGGAGGAACAUGUGGUUUAAUUCGAUGAUACGCGAGGAACCUUACCCGGGCUUAAAUUGCAUUUGAAUAAUCUGGAAACAGGUUAGCCGCAAGGCAAAUGUGAAGGUGCUGCAUGGUUGUCGUCAGCUCGUGCCGUGAGGUGUCGGCUUAAGUGCCAUAACGAGCGCAACCCUUAUCUUUAGUUACUAACAGGUCAUGCUGAGGACUCUAGAGAGACUGCCGUCGUAAGAUGUGAGGAAGGUGGGGAUGACGUCAAAUCAGCACGGCCCUUACGUCCGGGGCUACACACGUGUUACAAUGGGGGGUACAGAAGGCAGCUACCUGGCGACAGGAUGCUAAUCCCAAAAACCUCUCUCAGUUCGGAUCGAAGUCUGCAACCCGACUUCGUGAAGCUGGAUUCGCUAGUAAUCGCGCAUCAGCCAUGGCGCGGUGAAUACGUUCCCGGGCCUUGUACACACCGCCCGUCAAGCCAUGAAAGCCGGGGGUACCUGAAGUACGUAACCGCAAGGAGCGUCCUAGGGUAAAACUGGUAAUUGGGGCU